AGAAUCAACGCUGGCGGCGUGCCUAACACAUGCAAGUCGCACGAGAAAGGGUAGCAAUACCUGAGUAAAGUGGCGCACGGGUGAGUAACACGUGAAUAAUCUACCUCCGAGUGGGGAAUAACUGAGAGAAUCUUAGCUAAUACCGCAUAACACUUACGAGUCAAAGCAGCAAUGCGCUUGGAGAGGAGUUCGCGGCCGAUUAGUUAGUUGGCGGGGUAAUGGCCCACCAAGACGAUGAUCGGUA
rnacentral:rRNA from 1 species